UACAGAGGGUGCAAGCGUUGUUCGGAAUUAUUGGGCGUAAAGCGCGUGUAGGCGGCUUUGUAUGUCGGGUGUGAAAGCCCUCGGCUUAACCUGGGAAUGGCCAUGGAAACUGGCGAGCUGGAGUCUGGCAGAGGGGGGGUGGAAUUCCGCGUGUAGCAGUGAAAUGCGUAGAGAUGCGGAGGAACACCGAUGGCGAAGGCAGCCCCCUGGGCUAAGACUGACGCUGAGGCACGAAAGCGUGGGGAGCAAACAGGG
rnacentral:rRNA from 1 species